rnacentral:misc_RNA from 1 species
AACUGAUACUACCUGCGGGAACCUGCGGAGGGAUCAUUACUGAGUGAGGGCCCCUCGGGGUCCAACCUCCCACCCGUGUUUAACGAACCUUUGUUGCUUCGGCGGGCCCGCCUCACGGCCGCCGGGGGGCUCCUGCCCCCGGGCCCGCGCCCGCCGAAGCCCCCCCUUGAACGCUGUCUGAAGUUUGCAGUCUGAGAAACUAGCUAAAUUAGUUAAAACUUUUAACAACGGAUCUCUAGA